rnacentral:rRNA from 1 species
UGGUGGAGUGAUUUGUCUGGUUAAUUCCGUUAACGAACGAGACCUCGACCUGCUAAAUAGUUUGGCGAAUUCCCUGUGGAUUCGUACAUAACUUCUUAGAGGGACUAUCGGUUCGCAGCCGGUGGAAGUUCGAGGCAAUAACA